rnacentral:lncRNA from 1 species
CUCCCACCCUCUCCUUCUCUUCUUCCUUCUACAACCAUGGUUUUCCAUUGUUGGCCUUUCAUAGAUAAGGGCCUCGUUGAAAACUUUCAGGGUUUGUAUAAACGGUCAAUGAGGAUGGAACCGCGCUGCAACGAAGCGCGGUUCAUCUGAGGGUCAUGUGAGUCAGUGUGGUUCUUAACUUGGCGUGUUUGGGCGUAAGUUUGAGCACCCCCCAUCUCCCUCAGGGGCAUUGUUUUCUUCUUCUCUCCCUCCUCUUCCCUCCUCCUCCGGUUUUUCUCCAAUAGGCAAACUACUGGUAUGUCCCAUCACAUACCAGUGGUUAGGCUCUUAGGAGAUUAGAAUUAGGUUCAUAGGAGAUUAGAAAUAGAUUUAGGAUCUUAUGUAAUAAGCUUAAAAAGCUUGAAAAUUAUUGUAAUGUAUUGUUCAUAUAUUAAUAAAAU